UUGGAGGGCAAGUCUGGGCCAGCAGCCGCGGUAAUUCCAGCUCCAAUAGCGUAUAUUAAAGUUGUUGAGGUUAAAAAGCUCGUAGUUGAACCUUGGGCCUAGCCGGCCGGUCCGCCUCACCGCGUGCACUGGCUCGGCUGGGUCUUUCCUUCUGGAGAACCUCAUGCCCUUCACUGGGUGUGACGGGGAACCAGGACUUUUACUCUGAACAAAUUAGAUCGCUUAAAGAAGGCCUAUGCUCGAAUACAUUAGCAUGGAAUAAUAGAAUAGGACG
rnacentral:rRNA from 1 species